rnacentral:rRNA from 1 species
UACGGAGGGGACUAGCGUUGUUCGGAAUUACUGGGCGUAAAGCGCGCGUAGGCGGAUUAGUCAGUCAGGGGUGAAAUCCCGGGGCUCAACCCCGGAACUGCCUUUGAUACUGCUAGUCUUGAGUUCGAGAGAGGUGAGUGGAAUUCCGAGUGUAGAGGUGAAAUUCGUAGAUAUUCGGAGGAACACCAGUGGCGAAGGCGGCUCACUGGCUCUAUACUGACGCUGAGGUGCGAAAGCGUGGGGAGCAAACAGG